rnacentral:RNase_P_RNA from 1 species
UCAGCUGGCCGGGCGGCCGCUCCGAGUUCGCUCGGGGAGGAAAGUCCGGGCUCCAUGGAAUCACGGUGCCGGAUAACGUCCGGCGGGGGAAACCCUAGGGACAGUGCCACAGAAAGCAGACCGCCCCGCCAAGCCUUCGGGCCCCGGGGUAAGGGUGAAAGGGUGCGGUAAGAGCGCACCGCGGACGCAGUAAUGCGGACGGCACGGUAAACCCCACCAGGAGCAAAACCGAAUAGGGACGACAGGCGUUCGCGCCAGGCCCGUUUCCAGGCCCGUCGUCCGGGUUGGUUGCUUGAGGCGGUCAGCAAUGGCCGUCCCAGAGGAAUGGUCGCCACGUCCGAGGUUCGCCUCGGGCCCUACAGAACCCGGCUUACAGGCCAGCUGACACC